UACGUAGGGUGCGAGCGUUGUCCGGAAUUAUUGGGCGUAAAGAGCUUGUAGGCGGUUUGUCGCGUCUGCCGUGAAAAUUCGAGGCUCAACCCUCGAACUUGCGGUGGGUACGGGCAGACUAGAGUGUGGUAGGGGAGACUGGAAUUCCUGGUGUAGCGGUGAAAUGCGCAGAUAUCAGGAGGAACACCGAUGGCGAAGGCAGGUCUCUGGGCCACUACUGACGCUGAGAAGCGAAAGCAUGGGGAGCGAACAGG
rnacentral:rRNA from 1 species